CAACAGGGAUUGCCUCAGUAACGGCGAGUGAAGCGGCAAAAGCUCAAAUUUGAAAUCUGGCACCUUCGGUGUCCGAGUUGUAAUUUGAAGAAGGUAACUUUGGAGUUGGCUCUUGUCUAUGUUCCUUGGAACAGGACGUCACAGAGGGUGAGAAUCCCGUGCGAUGAGAUGUCCAACUCUAUGUAAAGUGCUUUCGAAGAGUCGAGUUGUUUGGGAAUGCAGCUCUAAGUGGGUGGUAAAUUCCAUCUAAAGCUAAAUAUUGGCGAGAGACCGAUAGCGAACAAGUACAGUGAUGGAAAGAUGAAAAGAACUUUGAAAAGAGAGUGAAAAAGUACGUGAAAUUGUUGAAAGGGAAGGGCUUGAGAUCAGACUUGGUAUUUUGCAAGCCUUACCUUCGUGGUGGGGUCCCCUGCAGUUUACUGGGCCAGCAUCGGUUUGGAUGGUAGGAUAAUGACUUGGGAAUGUGGCUUUGCUUCGGUAAAGUGUUAUAGCCCUUGUUGAUACUACCUGUCUAGACCGAGGACUGCGUCUUUGACUAGGAUGCUGGCAUAAUGA
rnacentral:rRNA from 1 species